rnacentral:rRNA from 1 species
CCGUAACUUCGGGAGAAGGCACGCUGACAUGUAGGUGAAGUGAUUUACUCAUGGAGCUGAAGUCAGUCGAAGAUACCAGCUGGCUGCAACUGUUUAUUAAAAACACAGCACUGUGCAAACACGAAAGUGGACGUAUACGGUGUGACGCCUGCCCGGUGCCGGAAGGUUAAUUGAUGGGGUCAGCGCAAGCGAAGCUCCUGAUCGAAGCCCCGGUAAACGGCGGCCGUAACUAUAACGGUCCUAAGGUAGCGAAAUUCCUUGUCGGGUAAGUUCCGACCUGCACGAAUGGCGUAAUGAUGGCCAGGCUGUCUCCACCCGAGACUCAGUGAAAUUGAACUCGCUGUGAAGAUGCAGUGUACCCGCGGCAAGACGGAAAGACCCCGUGAACCUUUACUAUAGCUUGACACUGAACAUUGAGCCUUGAUGUGUAGGAUAGGUGGGAGGCUUUGAAGUGUGGACGCCAGUCUGCAUGGAGCCGACCUUGAAAUACCACCCUUUAAUGUUUGAUGUUCUAACGUGGACCCGUGAUCCGGGUUGCGGACAGUGUCUGGUGGGUAGUUUGACUGGGGCGGUCUCCUCCUAAAGAGUAACGGAGGAGCACGAAGGUUGGCUAAUCCUGGUCGGACAUCAGGAGGUUAGUGCAAUGGCAUAAGCCAGCUUGACUGCGAGCGUGACGGCGCGAGCAGGUGCGAAAGCAGGUCAUAGUGAUCCGGUGGUUCUGAAUGGAAGGGCCAUCGCUCAACGGAUAAAAGGUACUCCGGGGAUAACAGGCUGAUACCGCCCAAGAGUUCAUAUCGACGGCGGUGUUUGGCACCUCGAUGUCGGCUCAUCACAUCCUGGGGCUGAAGUAGGUCCCAAGGGUAUGGCUGUUCGCCAUUUAAAGUGGUACGCGAGCUGGGUUUAGAACGUCGUGAGACAGUUCGGUCCCUAUCUGCCGUGGGCGCUGGAGAACUGAGGGGGGCUGCUCCUAGUACGAGAGGACCGGAGUGGACGCAUCACUGGUGUUCGGGUUGUCAUGCCAAUGGCACUGCCCGGUAGCUAAAUGCGGAAGAGAUAAGUGCUGAAAGCAUCUAAGCACGAAACUUGCCCCGAGAUGAGUUCUCCCUGAGACUUUAGGUCUCCUGAAGGAACGUUGAAGACGACGACGUUGAUAGGCCGGGUGUGUAAGCGCAGCGAUGCGUUGAGCUAACCGGUACUAAUGAACCGUGAGGCUUAACCUUACA